rnacentral:rRNA from 1 species
ACCUAAUAGAUACCCUGGUAGUCCACGCCCUAAACGAUGCGAACUGGAUGUUGGGUACAUUACGGUACUCAGUGUCGAAAGCUAAACGCGUUAAGUUCGCCGCCUGGGGAGUACGGUCGCAAGACUGAAACUCAAAGGAAUUGACGGGGGCCCGGCACAAGCGGUGGAGUAUGUGGUUUAAUUCGAUGCAACGCGAAGAACCUUACCUGGCCUUGACAUCUGUCGAAUCCUGCAGAGAUGCGGGAGUGCCGCAAGGAACGACAAGACAGGUGCUGCAUGGCUGUCGUCAGCUCGUGUCGUGAGAUGUUGGGUUAAGUCCCGCAACGAGCGCAACCCUUGUCCUUAGUUGCCAGCACGUAAUGGUGGGAACUCUAAGGAGACUGCCGGUGACAAACCGGAGGAAGGUGGGGAUGACGUCAAGUCCUCAU